rnacentral:rRNA from 1 species
UAGGGAAUCUUCUGCAAUGGACGAAAGUCUGACCGAGCAACGCCGCGUGAGUGAAGAAGGUUUUCGGAUCGUAUAACUCUGUUGUUAGAGAAGAACAAGGACGUUAGUAACUGAACGUCCCCUGACGGUAUCUAACCAGAAAGCCACGGCUAACUACGUGCCAGCAGCCGCGUUAAUACGAAGGUUGCAAGCGUUGUCCGGAUUUAUUGGGCGUAAAGCGAGCGCAGGCGGUUUCUUAAGUCUGGUGUGAAAGCCCCCGGCUCAACCGGGGAGGGUAAUUGGAAACUGGGAGUCAGGAGUGCAAAAGAGGAGAGUGGAAUUCCAUGUGUAGCGGUGAAAUGCGUAGAUAUAUGGAGGAACAACAGUGGCGAAGGCGGCUCUCUGGUCUGUAGCUGACGCUGAGGCUCGAAAGCGUGGGGAGCAAACAGG